AUAGAAAGGUGAAAGAAGGGACGAUCAGGGGCAAAUUAGUCAUUUUGCACCAUCAAAAGAGACUCCAGAAUAAUCCAUCUCUUCACGGACUCUUCACAUCCAUAUCUGUUUACCAACUCUCACCUAUCUCUCUGCUUCUCCGUCUUCUUCAGCUGAUGAAGAUGUAGUUGCUUUCUCAGUGGCGACAAAUCGAUUGUCAACUCCUCAAACUAACAGCUACUGGAAUUAAUUUUUUAGAAUUCUAAAGUUAUUUUCGAGCUGUGAAAAAAUUUCAAGUAAUGAUCUAUUUCAACCAUCUUUCUGAGGAGGUCACGGGUUCAAGCCUUGAAAACAGUUCCUUGCAGAAAUGCAAGGUAAGGCUGGGUACAAUACACUCUUGUGGUGGGACCUUUCCUCGGAACCUGGGCAAAGCGGGAGCUAUAGUGCAUCGGGCUGCCUUUUAUACGUUGUCAACUUUAAUGUGGUUGAUCUGAAACUUAGAUGCAGUAUUUAAUGCAAACAAGGGAAACAUAUAUAUGGGGAUAUGUAAGCCAAAGAGGGAAGCUUAGAAUCAAACUUGAACCUCCCAGAUUACCCAGAAAAUGUUCUCAAGGGAAAUUUCCUCUUGCGGUUUCUAGAUGAUGUUACAUCCUCAUUCUGGCAAAGAUCAGCCGCUUUCUCAUUUAUAUACCUUCUAUUGAUAUCUGGAGUAUUGGAUGUAUUUUCGCGGAGGUCCUGACAGGGAAACCAUUAUUUUCGGGCAAAAGUGUUGUUCAUCAAUUGGAUUUGAUUACUGAUCUUCAUGGAACGCCAUCAGCUGAUAUUAUAUCGGGGGUUCGUAAUGAGAAGGCAAGGAAGUAUUUGACAGACAUGAAGAAAAAGAGCCCAGUUCCUUUUACUAAGAAAUUUCAAAAAGCAGAUCUUUUGGCACUUCGACUGUUGCAGAGGUUGUUAGCAUUUUAUCCAAAGGAUCGCCCAACUUCUGAAGAGAUACACACACAUAUAUAUUCCUGAUAUAGAUGAAUGGCAUCUUGCUUGUCCCUUUCUAAUUUCAUUUUUAUUUUUAUUUCUUGUGUUUUUUCCUCCCAUCUUAUAGGCUUUGGCUGAUCCGUACUUCAAAGGACUGGCCAAGAUUGAGAGGGGAAAUAGACACAGUAAGUCUGUAGCAUAUGUUUUUUAUGUGUAAUGUAUAUUUGUAAGCAUCUCAAUUUGGCGAUGCAAACAGACACUUGGUGACUAUUUUGCUGAAAGGAAAAUAUGGUGUUGAUACUCAAGAUAUUACAUGAUGCUUGAGGAAAGAUGGAUCCUUAAUUGGAGUCUUGAGCACAGAGAUUUCAAAAGUAAAAAGAACUUCUAAAAGUGUCCCCCUACAUGAGAUAUUGUUGGAUGCAAUGGGGAACGGCUCAAAGGUGUGAUGGCUUGAGGUCCAAGGGUACUGAAGAGACUAGUGAGACAAUGAAUUUGGUUUAUUGAUUUAAAUUUUAAUUGUUUUAUUGAGUGUGAACUUAAAAUUCUGUUCAUUGAUGUCGAAUAUAAGUUAAAAAUCUGUACUUUGGGCAAAUUAUGGGGUGGGGUAGGGGGAUACGAGCUUAUGGUAAUGCAUCUGUCUGUUAGAAGCUUGGCUAUUGAUUUUGAAGUAUUAAAUGAAGAAAGAUUAUCUGAGAAUGCGGCGUUAGUUGCAUUAUCUUUUGUAUUGUGAAUUAGCUUAGUGUGUGGUAUCUUUUGCAGUUGAUAGGCAGGUUAAAUGUGAGAACUGGAUCCGAGGAGACGAUGACAAUCAGUCCGAGCAAUCAAAGUCAUCAUGGUGGUUAAACCGACUUAUUACAGGGCAGACAAAGAAGAUGUCUACUGAUUGACCAUUUAAAAUUACUAACAUCAAUAUUCUCGUGAAUUGGACUUGAACAUAACGAAAUGGAUAUAGAAGAUAUAUAUAUAUAUGAUGAACACAAUUAUUGGAGAUUUAACGCGAAGUUGAUGACGGUUGAUCAACUACAUUCUUGUAAAUGCAGGAUUUUUUUGGAUAAAGUACCAAUAAGGAUAUAAAAAAAGGCAAAUCACACGUAAAGAUUCCUUCUC